GACGAACGCUGGCGGCGUGCCUAACACAUGCAAGUCGAACGGAAAGGCCCUGCUUUUGUGGGGUGCUCGAGUGGCGAACGGGGGAGUAACACGUGAGUAACCUGCCCUUGACUGUGGGAUAACUUCAGGAAACUGCGGCUAAUACAGCAUAGGAGCUCCUGCUGCAUGGUGGUGGUUGGAAAGUUUCGGCGGUGGUGGAUGGACUAGCGGCUUAUCAGCUUGUUGGUGGGGUUGGGGCUGACCAAGGGUUUGACGGGUAGCCGGCAUGGGAGGGUGACCGGGCACAUAGGUCCUAAGGUACGCCCCAGACUCAUACGGGACGCAACGGUGGAAAACAUUGCGGACUAGGCGGGAGUGUGUUACAGCAGUGCCGGGUGCGUGAUAACGGCUUUCGGGUUAUAAACAACUUUCGACUGUACCGAGCACUGAGUGACGGUACCGGGUCAGGAAGCACCGGCUAACUACGUG
rnacentral:rRNA from 1 species